rnacentral:rRNA from 1 species
AUUGAACGCUGGCGGCAGGCCUAACACAUGCAAGUCGAACGGUAACAGGAAGAAGCUUGCUUCUUUGCUGACGAGUGGCGGACGGGUGAGUAAUGUCUGGGAAACUGCCUGAUGGAGGGGGAUAACUACUGGAAACGGUAGCUAAUACCGCAUAAUGUCGCAAGACCAAAGAGGGGGACCUUCGGGCCUCUUGCCAUCGGAUGUGCCCAGAUGGGAUUAGCUAGUAGGUGGGGUAACGGCUCACCUAGGCGACGAUCCCUAGCUGGUCUGAGAGGAUGACCAGCCACACUGGAACUGAGACACGGUCCAGACUCCUACGGGAGGCAGCAGUGGGGAAUAUUGCACAAUGGGCGCAAGCCUGAUGCUGCUAUGCCGCGUGUAUGAAGAAGGCCUUCGGGUUGUAAAGUACUUUCAGCGGGGAGGAAGGGAGUAAAGUUAAUACCUUUGCUCAUUGACGUUACCCGCAGAAGAAGCACCGGCUAACUCCGUG